AUCCUAGCGGCGGACGGGUGAGUAAUGCUUAGGAAUCUGCCUAUUAGUGGGGGACAACAUUCCGAAAGGAAUGCUAAUACCGCAUACGCCCUACGGGGGAAAGCAGGGGAUCUUCGGACCUUGCGCUAAUAGAUGAGCCUAAGUCAGAUUAGCUAGUUGGUGGGGUAAAGGCCUACCAAGGCGACGAUCUGUAGCGGGUCUGAGAGGAUGAUCCGCCACACUGGGACUGAGACACGGCCCAGACUCCUACGGGAGGCAGCAGUGGGGAAUAUUGGACAAUGGGCGAAAGCCUGAUCCAGCCAUGCCGCGUGUGUGAAGAAGGCCUUUUGGUUGUAAAGCACUUUAAGCGAGGAGGAGGCUACUUAGAUUAAUACUCUAGGAUAGUGGACGUUACUCGCAGAAUAAGCACCGGCUAACUCUGUGCCAGCAGCCGCGGUAAUACAG
rnacentral:rRNA from 1 species